rnacentral:rRNA from 1 species
GAUGAACGCUGGCGGCGUGCCUAAUACAUGCAAGUCGAGCGAACAGACGAGGAGCUUGCUCCUCUGACGUUAGCGGCGGACGGGUGAGUAACACGUGGAUAACCUACCUAUAAGACUGGGAUAACUUCGGGAAACCGGAGCUAAUACCGGAUAAUAUAUUGAACCGCAUGGUUCAAUAGUGAAAGACGGUUUUGCUGUCACUUAUAGAUGGAUCCGCGCCGCAUUAGCUAGUUGGUAAGGUAACGGCUUACCAAGGCGACGAUGCGUAGCCGACCUGAGAGGGUGAUCGGCCACACUGGAACUGAGACACGGUCCAGACUCCUACGGGAGGCAGCAGUAGGGAAUCUUCCGCAAAGGGCGAAAGCCUGACGGAGCAACGCCGCGUGAGUGAUGAAGGUCUUCGGAUCGUAAAACUCUGUUAUUAGGGAAGAACAAAUGUGUAAGUAACUAUGCACGUCCUGACGGUACCUAAUCAGAAAGCCACGGCUAACUACGUG